AAUCUUCCUUUGUCUACUUUAA
rnacentral:miRNA from 1 species